AUUGAACGCUGGCGGCAGGCCUAACACAUGCAAGUCGAACGAGUGGCGGACGGGUGAGUAAUUUCUGGGAAACUGCCCGAUGGAGGGGGAUAACUACUGGAAACGGUAGCUAAUACCGCAUACCAUCGGAUGUGCCCAGAUGGGAUUAGCUAGUAGGUGGGGUAACGGCUCACCAAGGCGACGAUCCCUAGUUGGUCUGAGAGGAUGACCAGCCACACUGGGACUGAGAAACGGUCCAGACUCCUACGGGAGGCAGCAGUGGGGAAUAUUGCACAAUGGGCGCAAGCCUGAUGCAGCCAUUCCGCGUGUAUGAAGAAGGCCUUCGGGUUGUAAAGUACUUUCAGCGGGGAGGCGUUACCCGCAGAAGAAGCACCGGCUAACUCCGUGCCAGCAGCCGCGGUAAUAC
rnacentral:rRNA from 1 species